rnacentral:rRNA from 1 species
AUGGUGGGGAAGCUUCAGCACCGCAUCGAACCUUGGCAGGGCCGCUGGCUCUCUAAGGCCGCCCGGAUGGUGCUCAUUAACUCGUCCCUCUCCAGCUUGCUCCUAUUCAUCAUGAGUUUCUACAGCCUACCUGAGACGCUGCACCAUGAGAUUGCCACAGUCCAGGGACGCUUCUUCUGGGCUGGCGAGGGCGACAAGCAGAAGUACCACAUGGUGAGGUGGUCAGAGAUCUGUAAGCCUCGUGAACAGGGCGGUCUCGGGAUCAUGUCCUCCAAGCGCAUGAACAUAGCCCUCCUGACUAAGUGGCUGUGGAGGAUUGCGAACGGUGAGGGUGGAUUGUGGCUGCACAUCAACCAGCAGAAAUACCUCCGUGGCGAGCCACUCGCCUUCUGCCAGCGGUCCGGUGGGUCCCAGUUCUGGCAAUCAGUCAUAUAA